AACGAACGACUCAAACUCGAAGACUUGAGAGAUGAACUAUUCAAUUCUCUUUCCGGCUCAGACUGCAUUGGUUAAGCUUAUGGG